AGGGGCGGAUGUAGCCAAGGGAUAAGGCAGUGGAUUGUGAAUCCACCAUGCGCG
rnacentral:tRNA from 1 species